rnacentral:rRNA from 1 species
GACGAACGCUGGCGGCGUGCUUAACACAUGCAAGUCGAACGAAGAGCGAUGGAAGCUUGCUUCUAUCAAUCUUAGUGGCGAACGGGUGAGUAACGCGUAAUCAACCUGCCCUUCAGAGGGGGACAACAGUUGGAAACGACUGCUAAUACCGCAUACGAUCUAAUCUCGGCAUCGAGGAUAGAUGAAAGGUGGCCUCUACAUGUAAGCUAUCACUGAAGGAGGGGAUUGCGUCUGAUUAGCUAGUUGGAGGGGUAACGGCCCACCAAGGCGAUGAUCAGUAGCCGGUCUGAGAGGAUGAACGGCCACAUUGGGACGGAGACACGGCCCAGACUCCUACGGGAGGCAGCAGUGGGGAAUCUUCCGCAAUGGACGAAAGUCUGACGGAGCAACGCCGCGUGAGUGAUGACGGCCGUCGGGUUGUAAAGCCCUGUUAAUCGGGACGAAAGGCCUUCUUGCGAAUAGUGAGAAGGAUUGACGGUACCGGAAGAGAAAGCCACGGCUAACUACGUG